UUCCCUUUGUCAUCCUAUGCCUGAGAAAUUCAGGGAGGCUGGGACGGUGAAGGGAAGCC
rnacentral:pre_miRNA from 1 species